GACGAACGCUGGCGGCGUGCCUAAUACAUGCAAGUUGAGCGCUGAAGGUUGGUACUUGUACCAACUGGAUGAGCAGCGAACGGGUGAGUAACGCGUGGGGAAUCUGCCUUUGAGCGGGGGACAACAUUUGGAAACGAAUGCUAAUACCGCAUAAAAACUUUAAACACAAGUUUUAAGUUUGAAAGAUGCAAUUGCAUCACUCAAAGAUGAUCCCGCGUUGUAUUAGCUAGUUGGUGAGGUAAAGGCUCACCAAGGCGAUGAUACAUAGCCGACCUGAGAGGGUGAUCUGCCAAAUUGGGACUGAGACACGGCCCAAACUCCUGCGGGAGGCAGCAGUAGGGAAUCUUCGGCAAUGGACGAGAGUCUGACCGAGCAACGCCGCGUGAGGGAAGAAGGUUUUCGGAUCGUAAAACUCUGUUGGUAGAGAAGAACGUUGGUGAGAGUGGAAAGCUCAUCAAGUGACGGUAACUACCCAGAAAGGGACGGCUAACUACGUG
rnacentral:rRNA from 1 species